UACGUAGGGUCCGAGCGUUGUCCGGAAUUACUGGGCGUAAAGAGCUCGUAGGUGGUUUGUCGCGUUGUUCGUGAAAACUCACAGCUCAACUGUGGGCGUGCGGGCGAUACGGGCAGACUGGAGUACUGCAGGGGAGACUGGAAUUCCUGGUGUAGCGGUGGAAUGCGCAGAUAUCAGGAGGAACACCGGUGGCGAAGGCGGAUCUCUGGGCCAUUACUGACGCUGAGGAGCGAAAGCGUGGGGAGCGAACAGG
rnacentral:rRNA from 1 species